UACGUAGGGUGCAGGCGUUAAUCGGAAUUACUGGGCGUAAAGCGUGCGCAGGCGGUUUCUUAAGUCAGAUGUGAAAGCCCCGGGCUUAACCUGGGAACUGCGUUUGAAACUGGGAGACUGGAGUGUGGCAGAGGGGGGUGGAAUUCCGCGUGUAGCAGUGAAAUGCGUAGAGAUGCGGAGGAACACCGAUGGCGAAGGCAGCCCCCUGGGCCAACACUGACGCUCAGGCACGAAAGCGUGGGGAGCAAACAGG
rnacentral:rRNA from 1 species